GACGAACGCUGGCGGCGUGCUUAACACAUGCAAGUCGAACGGAAAGGCCCUGCUUUUGUGGGGUGCUCGAGUGGCGAACGGGUGAGUAACACGUGAGUAACCUGCCCUUGACUUUGGGAUAACUUCAGGAAACUGGGGCUAAUACCGGAUAGGAGCUCCUGCUGCAUGGUGGGGGUUGGAAAGUUUCGGCGGUUGGGGAUGGACUCGCGGCUUAUCAGCUUGUUGGUGGGGUAGUGGCUUACCAAGGCUUUGACGGGUAGCCGGCCUGAGAGGGUGACCGGCCACAUUGGGACUGAGAUACGGCCCAGACUCCUACGGGAGGCAGCAGUGGGGAAUAUUGCACAAUGGGCGGAAGCCUGAUGCAGCAACGCCGCGUGCGGGAUGACGGCCUUCGGGUUGUAAACCGCUUUCGCCUGUGACGAAGCGUGAGUGACGGUAAUGGGUAAAGAAGCACCGGCUAACUACGUGCCAGCAGCCGCGGUGAUACGUAGGGUGCGAGCGUUGUCCGGAUUUAUUGGGCGUAAAGGGCUCGUAGGUGGUUGAUCGCGUCGGAAGUGUAAUCUUGGGGCUUAACCCUGAGCGUGCUUUCGAUACGGGUUGACUUGAGGAAGGUAGGGGAGAAUGGAAUUCCUGGUGGAGCGGUGGAAUGCGCAGAUAUCAGGAGGAACACCAGUGGCGAAGGCGGUUCUCUGGGCCUUUCCUGACGCUGAGGAGCGAAAGCGUGGGGAGCGAACAGGCUUAGAUACCCUGGUAGUCCACGCUGUAAACGGUGGGUACUAGGUGUGGGGUCCAUUCCACGGGUUCCGUGCCGUAGCUAACGCUUUAAGUACCCCGCCUGGGGAGUACGGCCGCAAGGCUAAAACUCAAAGGAAUUGACGGGGCCCCGCACAAGCGGCGGAGCAUGCGGAUUAAUUCGAUGCAACGCGUAGAACCUUACCUGGGUUUGACAUGGAUCGGGAGUGCUCAGAGAUGGGUGUGCCUCUUUUGGGGUCGGUUCACAGGUGGUGCAUGGCUGUCGUCAGCUCGUGUCGUGAGAUGUUGGGUUAAGUCCCGCAACGAGCGCAACCCUUGUUCACUGUUGCCAGCACGUUAUGGUGGGGACUCAGUGGAGACCGCCGGGGUCAACUCGGAGGAAGGUGGGGAUGACGUCAAGUCAUCAUGCCCCUUAUGUCCAGGGCUUCACGCAUGCUACAAUGGCUGGUACAGAGAGUGGCGAGCCUGUGAGGGUGAGCGAAUCUCGGGAAGCCGGUCUCAGUUCGGAUUGGGGUCUGCAACUCGACCUCAUGAAGUCGGAGCCGCUAGUAAUCGCAGAUCAGCAACGCUGCGGUGAAUACGUUCCCGGGGCU
rnacentral:rRNA from 1 species